AGCUAGUCAAAGGUGACUAAUUCAUGUGGAUAGAAAAAUAAUACAUGCCAAAAGAAAUUUGAGGAACAAAUUCAGCCCUGAGACAGGUCAAGGAAACAGCCCUCCAGUCUUCCUCAAGAAAUGUAGACUGAAUCAGCAUUUACCCACCCCUGGAAAAACGCAGGAGCUGCGCAUUCCUGGGAUCUCAGCAGGGCUUUUGGGAAGAGCAGAACUGGGCUGGAGUCACGGUUUCUGGGCUGACUCUAGAUUUUCCCCAGCUUUUGUCACCUGUGAUGGCUGGAGAGUAUCUGAAGAUGACGAACCCCCUACUCCCAGUGACACAAGAUAGUUGGACCCACGGCUGAUUUACU
rnacentral:lncRNA from 1 species